rnacentral:rRNA from 1 species
UGGGGAAUCUUAUACAAUGGGCGAAAGCCUGAUCUAGCGAUGCCGCGUGUGUGACGAGGGCCUUAGGGUCGUAAAGCACUUUCGCCAGGGAUGAUAAUGACAGUACCUGGUAAAGAAACCCCGGCUAAGUCCGUGCCAGCAGCCGCGGUAAUACGGAGGGGGUUAGCGUUGUUCGGAAUUACUGGGCGUAAAGCGGACGUAGGCGGACUAUUAAGUCAGGGGUGAAAUCCCGGGGCUCAACCCCGGAACAGCCUUUGAUACUGGUAGUCUUGAGUUCGAGAGAGGUGAGUGGAAUUCCGAGUGUAGAGGUGAAAUUCGUAGAUAUUCGGAGGAACACCAGUGGCGAAGGCGGCUCACUGGCUCGAUACUGACGCUGAGGUGCGAAAGCGUGGGGAGCAAACAGGAUUAGAUACCCGUGUAGUCC